AUUGAACGCUGGCGGCAGGCUUAACACAUGCAAGUCGAGCGAGCGGCGGACGGGUGAGUAAUGUCUGGGAAACUGCCUGAUGGAGGGGGAUAACUACUGGAAACGGUAGCUAAUACCGCAUACCAUCAGAUGUGCCCAGAUGGGAUUAGCUAGUAGGUGGGGUAAUGGCUCACCUAGGCGACGAUCCCUAGCUGGUCUGAGAGGAUGACCAGCCACACUGGAACGGAGACACGGUCCAGACGCCUACGGGAGGCAGCAGUGGGGAAUAUGGGACAAUGGGGGCAAGCCUGAUGCAGCAAUGCCGCGGGUGUGAAGAAGGCCCUCGGGUUGUAAAGAAAGUUCAGCGAGGAGGCGGUACUCGCAGAAGAAGCACCGGCUAACUACGUGCCAGCAGCCGCGGUAAUUC
rnacentral:rRNA from 1 species